CUCCUCCUCCUCGCAUCACCCCUCCGCCCACUCUAUCUUUGUGUUCUCUGUCCCAGUCCAUUUUUACACAUCACUCGCUGAAUAGAUUAUUGGCGGGGAUUUACUUAUUUGAGGCACACAUCAAAACAAAGGCACUGCAGUGUAUUUUCAGAUGCACUGGGAGAGAGGGAGCAGGAGGUUAUCGAGGGAGAAGAGAACUCAUUCCCUCAAGUUACCCGCUGUCGUCUUUACAGUGGACUUCAGACUACAGAGCCUCAGACUCGCUGGGUCCAAUCCAUAACCGAAUCAGCAACACACGCUUCUUCCCACACACACACACACACACACACACUCACACCUCCAUCGCUUGGGCGCUCCAAACAGUCCAUAGUGACCAUGUCUCUGAGGCUGCUGCCUGCCUUCGCCAUGGACAAUGACGACGACGACGACGGGAACUUCACCAACUGGAUGAGCAGCUACUGGGGCCACGGAUCGGAGGGCCACGCCGCCAGGGAGAACAAGAGGAGCUUCAGGAAGACCUCCAGGUCCCAGACAGACCGGCGGGCCUCUCUACCCUGCGUGUCCCAGCUAGACGCCGUGAGGCUCUCUAGGCUCCACGCCGGUGCCUUAGGGGCCUCAGCCUCUGUCCACAGCAGCCGACCGGGCGGGGAGAACCGCGACGGGGCCCGGCCCCCCACCAGGGCCCGACGCGCCUCGUCCGACGAAAUCAGCCGCGCCCACGUGGUCAUCCCUGAGAGCCGAAUCCCCACCAUACCCACCAUCCCGGAGCUCACAGAGUCCUUCGAUAAGAGAUUCUCUCUGGGGAAGAAGACCCAAGUCUCCCUGAACGAGUCGGACAGCGUGUGUCUGAUCUGUGCGGAGGAGCUUCGUAGUGGCAGAGCUGGGGUACUGGAGGUCCACUGCAAGCAUCGCUUCCACAGGGAGGCAUCGCGGCACGGGCGCUUGCGCAGCAGCAGCAGCGCAGCGGCGGAAUGCGACGCUUGGAGGAGCGCGAAAGAGGAGUGCCGGAGGGCAUCCAAGGAGACGGACUGUCUCAUGCCCCACCGGCAGUUCUCACUGCGAAGACACCGCUGACCGGUCACGCCGAUGACAUCACACAUCGAUGACGUCCGACAGCGCUAGAGAUCGCUGGAACGUCACAGCGCAGUGGAAGAAAUAUUUGGGCAAUGCCCAAAUAUGGAGAUUCCUUUGGAACUUGUCGAGUUAUUGGAAACUGCCACACCUGGACAGAGCCAACAACAUUUUUUUGCCACAGUAAAUGUGACUAAUGAAAUGGCCAUAGAAUUAUAGAAAUUCUCUCAAUGACAAGAGACAAAUAAAAUGAGGAAAAUACUGCAAGUGACAUCUCUGCUUUAAUUUGGUAUUUGAUUUUUUGGUUUGUUUUAUUAGCAAUAUAUAGGUAUAUAUAACAAUAGCUAGUUAUUCACUAGUAGGUUACCAUGUUGUCCUAAUAUUACUCAAUAUAUGUCAAUACAUACAGCGGGAUGUCGUACUUCGAUUGAGUUGCAGGUAUGUUGUUGUCCUUUUUGCUCAGUCUCAGCAUUAAAAACGAUAUGUUAAUGAUACAAUAUAUUUUGGUUUAUAGUGUUCUGUGUAUCAUUCAAAUCAACCAAUAAGCUAAUAAAGAAAUGUAAAGGAAUUUAAA